rnacentral:rRNA from 1 species
GACAGAGGGUGCAAACGUUGCUCGGAAUUACUGGGCGUAAAGCGUGCGCAGGCGGUUAUGUAAGACAGAUGUGAAAUGCCCGGGCUCAACCUGGGAACUGCAUUUGUGACUGCAUGGCUAGAGUUUGGCAGAGGGGGGUAGAAUUCCACGUGUAGCAGUGAAAUGCGUAGAUAUGUGGAGGAAUGACCGAUGGCGAAGGCAGCCCCCUGGGUCAAGACUGA